rnacentral:miRNA from 1 species
UUACACAGCUGGACAGAGGCA